CAUACUGAGCCCGGAGCUGAACUCUUCAAGGGAGAGGCGUCCCUUCCGCUCCACAUCCACCCAGUCAAAGAUCAUCUCCAGCUCAUCCUCGCUGCUCAGGAAGCUGAACUUGGCUGCCUGCAACGAUAGAGGUGUGACAAGUCCGCUGUAAGGAGCGCCCUUGGACGCAAUGCCCGCAAAGCUGGCCUGAAAACAGGGGAUCUUCCUGACCCAAAAUCAAACCUGGAUUUCCUGCACUGCAGGCAGAUUCUUUACCAACUGAGCUACAAUGGAAGCCCAAAUUGCCCAUAAAUACUUGCAGCUUCUCAAAUGCUCCUUGAGCCUGUCAUAACAUCAUACUGAGUCCCUCACUGACUGAUAAUAAUAAUAAUGAUGAAUUAGCUAGCUCUUUGAUAAGUAUUGAUUUUAUAUUUACUCAAAAGUCUUUUUUCUUUACCAUUUUGAAAAUUAUAAUUUAACAUCAGCCAUUUGUACUUUUUUUGUGGCUCUGAGGGUAGAAUACAGAUAGGAAGGGUCAGUUUUGAUGGAAAAAGGUCAAAGUCUAGAGCAUGGAACAAAAUCAGGAGGAGACAGCAGGUCCAGUGAGAUGCCAACAACUCACAUAGGACCCUUUGUAGAAAAUGAA